ACUUAAGUUUGAUAAUACUUGACUUUAGGAGUCCAGUAAGGCAUGUCCCUUAAGUU
rnacentral:tRNA from 1 species